CCUACGGGAGGCAGCAGUGAGGAAUAUUGGUCAAUGGGCGGAAGCCUGAACCAGCCAAGUAGCGUGCAGGAUGACGGCCCUACGGGUUGUAAACUGCUUUUAUACGGGGAUAACGCGCCUUACGUGUAGGGCUUUGCAUGUACCGUAUGAAUAAGGACCGGCUAAUUCCGUGCCAGCAGCCGCGGUAAUACGGAAGGUCCGGGCGUUAUCCGGAUUUAUUGGGGUUAAAGGGAACGUAGGCCGACUGGCAAGCGUGCUGUGAAAUGUCCGGGCUCAACCCGGGCCUUGCAGCGCGAACUGGCAGGCUUGAGUCCGCGGAAGGCAGGCAGAAUUCGUGGUGUAGCGGUGAAAUGCUUAGAUAUGACGAAGAACCCCGAUUGCGAAGGCAGCUUGCUGCAGCGGAACUGACGCUGAUGCUCGAAAGCGCGGGUAUCGAACAGGAUUAGAUACCCCUGUAGUC
rnacentral:rRNA from 1 species